rnacentral:rRNA from 1 species
UACGAAGGGGGCUAGCGUUGUUCGGAAUUACUGGGCGUAAAGCGAGCGUAGGUCGCUCCGUGUGUCAGUGGUGAAAGCCCAGAGCUCAACUCUGGAACUGCCAUUGAAACUGCGGAGCUGGAAUCUCAGAGGGGAUAGCGGAAUUCCAAAUGUAGGGGUGAAAUCCGUAGAUAUUUGGAGGAACACCGGUGGCGAAGGCGGCUAUCUGGAUGAGUAUUGACACUGAGGCUCGAAAGCGUGGGGAUCAAACAGG